rnacentral:lncRNA from 1 species
UUUUGGGUAUCUUCCUCUAUCACUUUUGCCCUAUUGCCUUGAGACAGGGUCUCUCAAUGAACUAGAAGCUCACAGUUUUUUUGUUACGCUGGCUGACCAAUGAAGUUGCAGGACCUACCUGUCUGCUCACCUCUGACCCCAGCACUGAGGUUUAUAGGCCUGUGCAAGUAUGCCUAGGUUUUUACAUGAGUUCUGGAGUUUUGAGUGCGGGGACUCAUGCUUGCAGAACAAGUGCUGUUUCCCACUGGGCUUUCUUCCCAGCACCAGUCCACCUUAUUUUAUGAGACAGCUUCUUAUACUGAACUUAGAGAUUACGUUUUUGACUAGGCUGACUGGUCAACAAACCUUUGACCUACUUUAUCCCAACCCCUAGAGCUCGGAUGACAAAUGUACAGUGUUCUAUCUGGCAUGCUUAUACAGUGAGCAUUUUAUCCGCUGAGCCAUAUACCUAUGGCUGCUAUUGCUCAGCUCUUCAGGUAAAUUACACAAGAGGUUUCAGAUGGAUGGUAAACAUUCUUCAGUGUGGAAUUGUUGAUACAGAAAUGCAGCUCUCACCUCAAAGGGGAUAAGAGUAAGUUUAUUCUGAAGCCAGAUGUUAGUGAUUGUGGCCCAAGAUUACAGUUCAGAUUAUUCUAGUUUAUGUGUUCUAAUGUGGUGACAGCUUGGUAAAGUUUUUAUAACACAAAAAAAGAAAUAA